rnacentral:rRNA from 1 species
AGAGUUUGAUCCUGGCUCAGGACGAACGCUGGCGGCGUGCCUAACACAUGCAAGUCGAACGGAGAUAUCCUUCGGGGUAUCUUAGUGGCGAACGGGUGAGUAACGCGUGGGUAACCUGCCCUUUUAUCGGGGAUAACUUGCCGAAAGGUGAGCUAAUACCGGAUGUCCUAUCUUAGACUCCUGUUUGAGAUAGCAAAGGUGGCCUCUUUAAAUGCUACCGUAAAAGGAUGGACCCGCGUCUGAUUAGCUAGUUGGUGAGGUAACGGCUCACCAAGGCGACGAUCAGUAGCCGGCCUGAGAGGGUGAACGGCCACACUGGGACUGAGACACGGCCCAGACUCCUACGGGAGGCAGCAGUGGGGAAUCCUCCGCAAUGGACGAAAGUCUGACGGAGCAACGCCGCGUGAGUGACGAAGGUCUUCGGAUUGUAAAACUCUGUUUUUUGGGACGAACGGCUCAUAUGUGAACAAUGUAUGAGAUUGACGGUACCAAAGGAGGAAGCCCCGGCUAACUACGUGCCAGCAGCCGCGGUAAUACGUAGGGGGCAAGCGUUGUCCGGAAUUAUUGGGCGUAAAGAGCGCGCAGGCGGGUCUGUCAGUCUACCGUGAAAGCUUACGGCUCAACCGUAACGGGUCGGUGGAUACUGCAGAUCUUGAGGGCAGGAGAGGAAAGUGGAAUUCCCAGUGUAGCGGUGAAAUGCGUAGAUAUUGGGAGGAACACCAGUGGUGAAGGCGACUUUCUGGACUGUUACUGACGCUGAGGCGCGAAAGCUGGGGGAGUGAACGGGAUUAGAUACCCCG